rnacentral:rRNA from 1 species
CCUACGGGAGGCAGCAGUAGGGAAUAUUGGACAAUGGGUGCGAGCCUGAUCCAGCCAUGCCGCGUGCAGGAAGAAGGCCUUCUGGGUUGUAAACUGCUUUUGCCGGGGGAUAAAAGACCCAUGCGUGGGGAAUUGAAGGUACCCGGUGAAUAAGCCACGGCUAACUACGUGCCAGCAGCCGCGGUAAUACGUAGGUGGCGAGCGUUGUCCGGAUUUAUUGGGUUUAAAGGGUGCGUAGGCGGCCCCGUAAGUCAGUGGUGAAAUACGGCAGCUCAACUGUCGAGGUGCCAUUGAUACUGCGGGGCUUGAGUACAGUCGAGGUAGGCGGAAUUGACGGUGUAGCGGUGAAAUGCUUAGAUAUCGUCAAGAACACCGAUAGCGAAGGCAGCUUGCUAGGCUGUAACUGACGCUGAGGCACGAAAGUGCGGGGAUCAAACAGGAUUAGAUACCCUGGUAGUCCGCACAGUAAACGAUGGUCACUCGGUGUUGGCGGUACACGGCCAGCGCCUAGCGAAGCGUUAAGUCGACCCACCGUGGGGAGGUACGCCCGCCGACGGUAGAACGUACAAGAGAGUUAGACGGCGUGAGACGUGCCGACGGACGACGACGAGGGAGGAGG